CCUACGGGGGGCAGCAGUGGGGAAUAUUGCGCAAUGGGGGCAACCCUGACGCAGCAACGCCGCGUGAUUGAAGACGGCCUUCGGGUUGUAAAGAUCUUUAAUCGGGGACGAAUUUUGACGGUACCCGAAGAAUAAGCUCCGGCUAACUACGUGCCAGCAGCCGCGGUAAUACGUAGGGAGCAAGCGUUAUCCGGAUUUACUGGGUGUAAAGGGCGUGUAGGCGGGCAUGCAAUCCAGAAGUGAAAUCUGGGGGCUUAACUCCGGGACUGCUUUUGAAACUGUAUGGCUAGAUUGCAGGAGAGGCAAGUGGAAUUCCUAGUGUAGCGGUGGAAUGCGUAGAUAUAUGGAAGAACACCAGUGGCGAAGGCGGCUCUCUGGUCUGCAACUGACGCUGAGGCUCGAAAGCAUGGGUAGCGAACAGGAUUAGAUACCCCAGUAGUC
rnacentral:rRNA from 1 species